UAACGAAUCUUCCGCAAUGCGCGAAAGCGUGACGGAGCAAUGCCGCGUGCAGGAUGAAGCCCCUCGGGGUGUAAACUGCUGUCAGGGUUUAGGAAGCACGUGACCAAACCCAAAGGAAGAGACGACUAACUCUGUGCCAGCAGUCGCGGUAAUACAGAGGUCUCGAGCGUUAGUCGGAAUCACUGGGCUUAAAGCGUACGUAGGCGGAUUUGCAGGCGUCGUGUGAAAUACCUCAGCUCAACUGAGGAACUGCACGGCGAACCGCAAGUCUUGAGACAAGUAGGGGCGGUCGGAACGAUAGGUGGAGUGGUGAAAUGCGUUGAUAUCUAUCGGAAUGCCGAAGGUGAAAACAGGCCGCUGGGCUUGCUCUGACGCUGAGGUACGAAAGCGUGGGUAGCGAACGGGAUUAGAUACCCGCGUAGUCC
rnacentral:rRNA from 1 species